rnacentral:rRNA from 1 species
UACGGAGGGUACGAACGUUAAUCGGAAUUACUGGGCGUAAAGCGCGCGUAGGCGGUUUGAUAAGUGGGAUGUGAAAGCCCCGGGCUUAACCUGGGAACUGCAUUCCAAACUGUCAGACUAGAGUAUGGUAGAGGCUGGUAGAAUUUCCUGUGUAGCGGUGAAAUGCGUAGAUAUAGGAAGGAAUACCGAUGGCGAAGGCAGCCAGCUGGACCAAUACUGACGCUGAGGUGCGAAAGCGAUGGGGAGCAAACAGGGGAUUAAGUGAUCCCACGUACGUCC